rnacentral:rRNA from 1 species
GAUGAACGCUGGCGGCGUGCCUAAUACAUGCAAGUCGAGCGAACAGACGAGGAGCUUGCUCCUUUGACGUUAGCGGCGGACGGGUGAGUAACACGUAGGUAACCUACCUAUAAGACUGGGAUAACUUCGGGAAACCGGAGCUAACACCGGAUAAUAUUUCGAACCGCAUGGUUCGAUAGUGAAAGAUGGCUUUGCUAUCACUUAUAGAUGGACCUGCGCCGUAUUAGCUAGUUGGUAAGGUAACGGCUUACCAAGGCAACGAUACGUAGCCGACCUGAGAGGGUGAUCGGCCACACUGGAACUGAGACACGGUCCAGACUCCUACGGGAGGCAGCAGUAGGGAAUCUUCCGCAAUGGGCGAAAGCCUGACGGAGCAACGCCGCGUGAGUGAUGAAGGUCUUCGGAUCGUAAAACUCUGUUAUUAGGGAAGAACAAACGUGUAAGUAACUGUGCACGUCUUGACGGUACCUAAUCAGAAAGCCACGGCUAACUACGUG